GGCCCCGUGGCUCAACUGGAUAGAGCGGCCCCCUCCUAAGGGGCAGGUUACUGGUUCAAGUCCAGUCGGGGUCA
rnacentral:tRNA from 2 species